CAUUUGAAUUCAAAUUCAAUUUGAAUUCAAAUGAGCAACCACCUAUCUUUAUCCUCUCACGCAUUUAAGACGCGUCUUGCAUUGUUUUAAAAGUGAGAAGAAGGUGGGGCGUGCGUAUGAGAUUUCUGAGAAAGAAAAGUGGGCGUGAGGAAGCUUUCUACAUGAUUUUGAAAAGUUCAAAAAUUUCAAGAGGAAAGAAAAGAAAGAGAGUGGGCGCAGGC
rnacentral:lncRNA from 1 species